AACCCGUAAUACCAGACUUGUG
rnacentral:miRNA from 1 species